rnacentral:rRNA from 1 species
UACGGAGGGCGCAAGCGUUGCUCGGAAUUACUGGGCGUAAAGCGCGUGCAGGCGGUCGAGUAAGUCGGUUGUGAAAUCCCCAGGCUCAACCUGGGAACUGCAUCCGAAACUGCUCGGCUAGAGUCUCGGAGAGGGAGGCGGAACUCCCAGUGUAGGGGUGAAAUCCGUAGAUAUUGGGAAGAACACCGGCGGCGAAAGCGGCCUCCUGGACGAUGACUGACGCUGAGACGCGAAAGCGUGGGGAGCAAACAGG